rnacentral:rRNA from 1 species
UACGUAGGGGGCAAGCGUUGUCCGGAUUCAUUGGGCGUAAAGAGCGUGUAGGCGGCCAGGUAGGUCGGUUGUGAAAACUGGAGGCUCAACCUUCAGAGGUCGACCGAAACCAUCUGGCUAGAGUCCGGAAGAGGAGAGUGGAAUUCCUGGUGUAGCGGUGAAAUGCGCAGAUAUCAGGAAGAACACCCGUGGCGAAGGCGGCUCUCUGGUACGUGACUGACGUUGAGACGCGAAAGCGUGGGGAGCGAACAGG